rnacentral:tRNA from 1 species
GACUGGGGCUCAGAGGUAGAGCGCUCGCCUAGCAAUGUGUGAGGCACUGGGUUCGAUCCUCAGCACCACACA